GACGAACGCUGGCGGCGUGCUUAACACAUGCAAGUCGAACGCUGAAGCUCAGCUUUUGUUGGGUGGAUGAGUGGCGAACGGGUGAGUAACACGUGAGUAACCUGCCCCCUUCUUUGGGAUAACGCCCGGAAACGGGUGCUAAUACUGGAUAUUCACUGGUCUUCGCAUGGGGGUUGGUGGAAAGGGUUUUUCUGGUGGGGGAUGGGCUCGCGGCCUAUCAGCUUGUUGGUGGGGUGAUGGCCUAGCAAGGCUUUGACGGGUAGCCGGCCUGGGCGGGUGACCGGUCACAUUGGGGCUGAGGUACGGCCCAGACUGCUACGGGGGGCAGCGGUGGGGAGUAUUGCGCAAUGGGGGCAAGCCUGAUGCAGCGGCGCCGCGGGAGGGAUGGAGGCCUUCGGGUUGUGAACCUCUUUCGCUCAUGGGCAAGCCGCAACAAUGGUUGUGGUGAGGGUAGUGGGUAAAGAAGCGCCGGCUAACUACGUG
rnacentral:rRNA from 1 species